rnacentral:rRNA from 3 species
UUCUUGACGACCAUAGAGCAUUGGAACCACCUGAUCCCAUCCCGAACUCAGCAGUGAAACGAUGCAUCGCCGAUGGUAGUGUGGGGUUUCCCCAUGUGAGAGUAGGUCAUCGUCAAGAU